rnacentral:rRNA from 1 species
UCCUACGGGGCGCAGCAGUGAGGAAUAUUGGUCAAUGGGCGCGAGCCUGAACCAGCCAAGUCGCGUGAGGGAGGACGGCCCUACGGGUUGUAAACCUCUUUUGCCGGGGAGCAACGGGCGUCACGUGUGGCGCCACUGAGAGUACCCGGAGAAAAAGCAUCGGCUAACUCCGUGCCAGCAGCCGCGGUAAUACGUAGGUGGCAAGCGUUGUCCGGAUUUAUUGGGCGUAAAGCGAGUGCAGGCGGUUCA